CUAGACAAAGGGUACAUUCGUGAGAGCCUAAGUCCUUGUGCUGUUCCUGUCUUAUUGGUGCCAAUGAAAUUUACGAAGAAGGAGUCUAUGAAGAGUGGGAAAUCCAAGAGAACCAGAGACUAUUAAUGCUGGAAUUAAAUCAACUAAUAGGUGAAGCUCAUGCAGAUCUACAGGAGUGUCACAUGAGUGCGAACAUAAAAACCAUUAUUCCCCAUAUUAGCUACCUCAAAGUAUGAAUGAAAAGGAAAACUUUACAACCCAAGCACCUUGGGAAAAUCUGAAUAGUCAGGUAUUUCUGAGCGCAGAAGAUAAUUAAGG
rnacentral:lncRNA from 1 species